rnacentral:misc_RNA from 1 species
AAGUCGUAACAAGGUCUCCGUAGGUGAACCUGCGGAGGGAUCAUUAACACUUUAAAAACAAAAACAAAAACAACCCGGUAACCCCAAAAAAAUGCUAGACUUGUCUGUCUGUUGAGUUCAAAAAGCAUUUUUUUCUAGUUUUAGAUUCGAGAUCUUAGAAUUUUAUUCUAAUUGAGCUCUCUAGAACUAGAAGAAGUAUUUUUGAAUUUCCUUUCACAUUUCUAGCAGUUUUUUAUUCUAUUCACUCGUCUCGUUUUUUUCUUUAUCUCUUUUAGAGGAAUUGAAUAAAAACAAACCAAGUGUAUAGUAUAAGAAUUCUAUACUAUUUGUACUAAAUCGUCUAGCUUUAUUUUCGAAUAACUCUAGACAAAACCUAAAUAAACAUUAAGCACAACUCUUAACAAUGGAUAUCUAGGCUCUC